GGUUGACAGAGCAGUUAAAGAGCCUCUCUUUUCUCCCGCACACUUUUCCUUUUAUCUUUUCCCCUUCAAUUUCAGAGCUUCUUGUUCUCACCUUCAUGCCGUGGCAGUGCUGACACAGCAAACUGCAGCCCUGGAAACCCAGUGCCAUGUGGGUGUUUCUCUGCACACCUGCCAGUAAGCAGGCAUAACCCGAGUCCCGGGGAAGAAGGCAAACUGGAACCCACAGUGAGGCGAGCACAGCCUUGGAAAGCUGAGGGGGAAAGCUGUUGCCCGCGUAAGCUAUCAUCUGCAGACACAGAAGCAUCCACAUGCUUAUGAACAAAGGGAAAGGCUUGGGGAAGUAGCUCUUUUAAGAACCUGCACCAUGUUUUCCUCUCUCGAAUGAACCAGUUCUCUUUACCAAAGAGACAGAAGUAUCAGCCCAAAAGGAGGCAAAGGGUUCUAGGGCUCUGGAAAAUUCUUCCUUGGCUACAUUCAGAACAACUGGAGGACACGAUUUUGAUGUCUCAUCCGUUUGUCAGU